GAAUAUCAGAGUUUUGCCAGAAACCCUUGAGUCUGGAGUGGUACGGCUGGAGUCCAGAUUGCAGUCUGUGGAGGAGUGGACAGGAGGAGUAGAACAGUUGGAAUUUAUAAUCUUCCUUCUGAACUAACAGGCCAAGAAAUUCUCGAGUUCUCUUCAGAGACCAACUGGGGAUCAACAAUUCAAUUUAAUUCUGACACCCAAGGAAGAAGAGAGUGCACCUGAUGUAGUAGCCACUGUAAGAACUGUGUUGGAGAAUGAUCCGAUUGGCCAGUGCAAGAGGGAUUGCAGAGAAGAAGAAACCACAAGCAGAAAAACCAGAUGAGGAAAUUAAGCUAAAUAUUAACUAUCUCAAGAAUAUUCCCAGAAGUGACUGCUAAAUUUAAAUCCCUGCUCACAAUGAAAUACUGUACAGCAGGGGUUCUCAAACUUUUUGGUCUUAGGACCCUUACAGCCUUAAAAAUUAUUGAGAACUCCAAAGAACUUUCAAUUAUGUGGGUCAUAACUACUGAUACUUACUGUAUUAUAACUUGAAACUGAAAAAAUUUUUAAAUAUUUAUAAACAUUUAAAAAUAAUAAACCCAUUGUAAGCUAAUGUAAAUAGCAUGUUUUUAUUAAAAAUCACUUUGUUUUCCAAAGCAAAAAAUGUAGUGAGAAGAGAGGCCUUCUUUUACAUUUUAAUAUCUGGCUUAUGAGAAAAUAGCUGAGUUUCUCAUUUCUGCUUCUCCAUUUAAUCUGUUGGUGUAUAUUU
rnacentral:lncRNA from 1 species